rnacentral:misc_RNA from 1 species
GGGUAACGAUCCACCAGGACCUGCAUACGUGUGACCACCCAUAUCAGGUUCCUUUUACUCAUCUCUGGUGUUGAACCAAAUCCAUCAACAAGAAGUCCAGCAGUCUUAACAUGAUUGAGAGCCGUUUCUUGUAAAUGAUUCAUCAACGUCUCUAUAGAUGCUGUACGAUCAGCACCAAUUUCAUAAGAUCUGAUGGAGAAGUUCUGGCGAAACACAAGCCCAUCUUGAACAAUUCUACCUAGGCCAAAUGGGUCAAUAAGCAUGUCAGGUCGCUUUGGUUUCCAGUCAAGCAUCAUCCACUGCUUCUCUGCUGCCAAAAAUAUAGUUGUAAUAGCAGCAAGAAGCAUGCUCCAAUCAGGUAAUUGGUUGAUAAAGGUCCUAGGGGGUGGUGACGGCACGUCAUCUUCAUUCUUCACAUUUUCCACAGAUGUUGUGAACCCUGCUGUGGAACCAUUUAUUUUUGGAGGGGCUUGGGCAUUUGCCUUGACCAGCAAGCCCCCAGAAGCAGCAGAUUUGGAUUUUAUUCCACUUAAACUAGCAGGUCCACUGCCAAUCUUGAUGGACUUGGCAACUGCAGAUGAAGAGGGAACUGGAAAGAACGACGAAGUAGCAGCAGUAGCAACCAUACUGUAACUGAAGAUUGGAUGAACCAGCAGUCGUCCGACAGCUAUUUGAUAAGAAUUUGACAAGAAGGACGAGCAAGUUUCAGAAUCUUAUUAUGUUUCCCGCAAUCUACAGAAAUAUGCUUUCCAGCAAGCGAGAGAGAGAGAGAGAGAG